UUAUAUAAACAGCCACCCAUGCAAUAGAUGAUCAAAAUAUUUCCCAACUUUCGAUUUAAAGAAAUUUUUCUGUUUGGAAAAUUUUCAGUUCGAACAACUGUACAACUACUUUGCAGUUACAACAUUCUUGUUAUGACUUGUAGAAGAUGGAGGACAAAUUGAGCAAUGAAGUGGUAGUUUUGUUUCUGUCAAUUGUAAUUUGUUAACUGCUGAGACAGUUUUUUAAAAAUCAGUGGAGAUAUGGUAACUAUUGAGUUUAUUUCAUUAUCAUUGAUUUGCUAGAACCAAUGAUUCCAUGUAGUUUGAAUGUGCAAGAAGAGGAAGCAUCAAGGCGUUUUUUGUCCAUAUUCUCAUUUGGGCUUCCAAUUCAAGCCCAAAACAUGUUUGAAGGUGCCUGUUUUUUCUCAAGAGGGUAAUGGGAGAUAUUUUGACUAUUUGUUAGCCAUUGGAGUUGACAAUGAGCAUUGUUGGGAGUUUGACUAGCCAAUUGAGUGUGCAUGUUGGUAGCUGGUGAAUUGAUGUUGAGAUUAACACUUCUCCGCUAUUUUGGAGAGGUUAUUUGUAGGUUAUUUGUUGUUUUUUGUUGUUAUUGGCAUCCCAAUGGGUCUCAAGAAGGCAGCGAGCUUGUAAAACUGCAUUUCAAUAGUGGAUUAGAGGAAGUUAGAUUCCCUUAAUUGGAGUUUGUCUCCCAAUUUAGGUUUCUCCUAGGUAAAUCUUGUGUUACCUCUCAAUUGUGAGUGUUCUUAAAUGUCUCGGUACUUGUUUUUCAAUCCAUUAAGGAAACUCGAAAAGGCAUUGACUUCCAAUAAGUAUAGUAAAACAUAUCAAUGGCAUGGAAGAAGGUUUGUAGCAUGUUUUACAACAAUUAAAGAGAUUCUGGAAACAUUUAGAAUUUAAAUUUUUUUU